GAACGGUGAGUCAGCUCCUUCCCAGUCAGGACAACUUCUCCUUGUCGUCCAGAUUUUGGCUCAGCUGUCCAGACUUCAAGGAAGCUCUCCUGUCCCCCAGCUCAGUCACACCCGCAUCAGUUAGUAAGUACUGAGCGCCUGCCAGGUGCCAACCUCUGCUCUAAAUGUUUUAUAAAUAUUAACUUUAAGUCCCCCUAAAACUAGGAAGCAGGCCUAUUAUUAUUCCUCCUUUUUUGAUAUGGGAAACUGAAGACAUGGAGAGGAGGUAAGUUGCCUGAGGUCACGAAGCCAAGGGGUGCCUGGUUGGAGCAUCCCCGUCCCUAUCUGGGUUCACUGCCUCCCACCUGCUCCCACAAGACACUUGGACCAGCCACCAGGGGUGGCUCCAGGCUCAGAGGAAGCUCUUGUUAAACAGCUGCAUGAAUGGUGUCAGCUCUUAUUUUUAGAUGACACAUCCCAAGUACCUUAUAACUACAUAGUGGCUAUGCACAUGUUUGUGCAUAUAUACAUGUGUAGGUAUGUGUCUACAUAUUUGUUAUGUUGCAAGGGUAAUUUUUUUUUUUUUUUGUCACUUGGAAGCUGAAUCUAUAAAACUGGCCAUGAGGUGAGAGCUCUGCUACUAACUCUGUUCUAUCUGAUUCAUCCCCAGCCUCUGCAGGGAGGGUACAAGGACAAUUAACGCAUCUACAGUAUCUGUCACCUUCUGUCUCUUCUUGUUUCUCUUAUCACCUCAGUCCCUUCCUCUUGAAACUUCAGGAACACCUUGGUCUUUCUACCUUGCUGUUCUGUGCAGGCCCAUUAGCCAAAUUCUAUAAUGACCCCUGUUGUCACCACCCUGCAGUUCCUGUACCUGGAGGCUGAGGGCCAUGCUGGAGCCAGUGCAGGCUGGGCACCAGGAGGAAUCUGGGUUUAAGCAUCAUCUGUCACUGAGUCACCAAGUGGCCCCACAUAAGCCCUCAAAUCUCUGAAGUCUAAGCUUCUACGAGUGUAAAUGAUCAUCAUGUCUCCCUGGCAGAAAUGCUGGGAGACAGUGAAAGGACAUGCCAGCACCAUGCCUGGCACCCUGGGAGCUUCCGGUGAAUGAACCAGAUGUGCCAUUAUCACCUUGGCUGAUAUCACUGCCUCCUCCCACGCACCAGGCCCCAGGGCUGUGGUCCCCAGGAGCAGGAUUCCUUAGGUUUGGUGGGCAUGACUGGCUGACCAGUGGUCUUAUCCAUUGAGAUUAGGGAGGCGGCAGUCGUUAAAACUAACAAUUAAGAUUUAAAUAAUAAUUAACAUUUGCAUAUAGCACAUUUGCUAAAUAAUUCCAGGUCUGUUCCAUGAAACAUCCUAUUUUAAUUGUUACAAAAAGCCUAUAAGGCAGAGACCAUCAUUGUCCAUGUUUCAGUUGGUAAACUGGAGUUCCAGGCAACGUGGCCAAAGAGCGGAAUGGUAUGUGGAAAGACAGGCAUCAAGCCAGACAAAUGGUAACAUAUCCAGGGCCCGUGUCCUUCACUGCAACACCUGCUGCCCUAAAUGACCCAAGUGCACCACCCAGGGAGGACCAGCAGCCUCUGAAGCCCAGAGUGGAACCGUAGCUUUAUACUCAUUAGUCCCUGUAAGAGUAAUUCUCUAAGGAUACUCAGGUCUUCUAGAACCACAUUUCCCUGUCGCAUAGGUCUGAAUUCAUGAAAUUCCCCCAGUCCAACCUGGAACUUGACUUCCUCGCUAAUGUGGGGUCAGGGUUACAAAGACUGUACAUGGAGUCCUGGCUCCUCUGUCCCGUGGCUAUGUGACACCUGUCACCUUGCUCUUCCUGCCAUCACACACAAGCCUAACCAGCACUGCUGAAGUGGUGACAAUGCCUUGUUCCUGAUGGGCCUGCACACAAUGUGAGGGACGGCACAGGGCUGGAUGAGGUGCCGUGAGGGAGGCAGGGAUGAUCAGGGCACAGAGCCUGCUCUUGGGGAGAACUGCAGCACCCCUGGGGAGUUAAAAAAAGAUCCACGUCCUUUAAAAAUCCUACAGAGCUCAAUGUGAGCUGCCGAUGAAGGAGAACGUAGUUGAGGGGGUACACAGCUGCCACCACAUGCAACUGAUUUCCAGGUCUGACUCUUGGGUUGGGGUGCCCACUGAUGGGGUGACAUCCCAGUGGCAGUGGCAAGUCACCCCAACAUUUGUGUUGACUUAGGAGAAGGGGAAGCGGGUGGCUUUGCUAUCUGAUGAAGGGGACACCAGAGCUCGAACAAGCAGAAGACCUGUAAAAACAGUGCUAAUAACUCCAGGAAUCCAUGUGGUUCUUGGCAGAAAGAUCCUCAGGCCUAGAGUAUGGUUUCUAUAAAUCUGUACUGGCUUUUAAAAAUUUUAAAUUAUUUUCUAUUCUUUUCUAGAUUUAUUGAGAUAUAAUUGAUAUCCCCAGCUUUGGUUUUAAAACUACAUUUUAAAAGAUUUCAGAAGUGAAAGUUGAGAGAGAUUUCAAAGAAAUAUAUCCCCCCCCCACCAAAAGAGGUAAGAGUAGAGGAGGGACAGGGAAGGCAAACACAGAGUACCUCCUGAUAAUGAAAUUCCCAGUAAGCAUAAGACCUGACAGGAUGAAAGGAAAGGCACGUCCGCUGUGAAGUGUCCACUUCCUUAAUGCAUUUUCCUCAAAUUCUCAUUUUAUGCAGACAGUGAAAUAAAGAACACAAGGAGAACAACCCCUUGCUUGGCUCCCCCCAAAGCUGUACACAAGUAGGCCUUUCUUUCUGCUCCUUACAAAAAACCAUAGUUUAACAAUGGCAGGAUGCAUUUUCCCCUUGCUUUUGCUGAAUUAAGACGACCAAAUUGCAGUUCGGCGUGUGCCAAACUUGGAUUUUUUCAAAGCGUCAUUUGAGUUUUAAAAGCUACAUAAGUGAUGGGAACAUAAUCGUCUAGGGAAUCCACAAAUAACUCUUUAAAAAGUCAUAAAUCUGGAUUUCAUGCCUCAUAGUUUUCAACAACUGCAAGAAAUAGGUCAAAGCUCUAACAUGGUGGGUUCCCCCCGCCCCCGUGUCUAAGGGUUGCCUGCCUCGGGCCUUCUCCACACGCUUUAGUGGGAACCACGUCAGCUUUUGAAUUGUACACGGUUCUGAAUUGCUUUUCGUUGCUUCUAAUGCUCAUUUUUUCCCUCAAAAAUCGUGAUAAAAUACACAUGGAAAUAACUUCCUGGUUUUAUAGAACUUUUAAAUCCGAUCCUUUAAAAAUCAUCAGGUCGUUGGCAAAAAAAUUGUGAACUUAUAAAAACACUAGAGCAAGUCCGUAGUGUAAUUUAAAGUUGGGGGUUCUGCGCAAAAUUUUGGAAAGGGCUGAAAAAGCCAACCACGGGGGUCCAUAGGUCUUGAUUUUCCAGAAUAGACUUACUCUGGCUAUGAGGGCCUCCCCCUGCCCCCACUUGGCAAAGAGGUCAGAACACCUCGGGGGUGAAGGCCUUGGCCUUAGGAAGUUUUAAAGCUCCCAGGGUGAUGCUGGUGGGCUGCCGUGCUGAGAAAGGAUUAUAACCCUGGGUCUUAAACUGGACUGCAUCCUUCCCACUUGGGGAAUUUUAAAAAUACCAGCCAGCUUUACAGAUAAGUAGAGUCUAUGCAACUCACCGAAGGUGGAAGGUGCUUCCAUGCCCGACCCCCACCUCAGACCUGCUUGCCUGUAUCUCUAACAUCAGUUACAUCUUAUAAUGCAAACGUCCCUGGGGGAGAGCAUGCUCUGGCUCAAGUUCAUGGAAACCCAUAAACAACAGUCUCAUUUUCUGGCAAUGUGUAUGUGCUUAAUUUAUUCUUUCGUGAUUGACUUUUAAAAGGGACCACUGAGAUAUCAUUUACCAACAAUAAAAUGUUCCUAGGAGAUCCCGCUGUGGCCCAACAGGAUCAGCAUCAUCUUGGGAGCUCUGGGAUGUGGGUUUGAUCCCUGGCCAGGCCCAAUGAGUUAAGGAUCCCACAUUGCCACAUCUGCUGCUUAGGUUGCAACUGUGGCUCAGAUCUGAUCCUUGACCGGAAACUCCUUAUGCCACAGGGCAGCCAAAAAAGAAGAAUAAGAAAAAAGAAAAUGUUCCUGUUUUAAAUGCACAAGGUUUGAUAAUUUUGACAAACAUGAUAUGCUCCCAGGCAGCCACACCUUGAUCAGAUCAGGAUCAGCAUGUUUCCAUCAUCCCUCAAAGUGCCCUUGUGUCCCUUCUCGUUCAGUGCUGCCUUCACACCCCUCGCCCGCCAUGGACCAGUGGGCUAGUGUAGCCUGUCCCUAAAGUUCACAUCAAAGGAAGGACAGGGCAGACAUGCUGUGUCUGCGGUUCAGCUAUGCUGCUGUGUACAGGCAGUUUGUUCUUUUUUAUGGCCGUAUUUAUUGUUGCCCUAUUGGAUGAGCAUCCCAAGUUUCAUCUGCUCACCUGCUGAUGGACAUUUGGGUUUUUCCAGCUGUUAGAUAUUCUGAAUAAGGCUGCAAUCUUUUUGUUGAUGGAUACUUUCCUCUCUCUCGGGUAAAUACCUAGAAGUGGAAUUCCUAGGUCAUCUGGUAAAUAUACAUUGAACUUUAGUAGGAAGUGGCCAAUUCUCUAUGUGUUUGUGUCGUUUUAUACUCCUAUUGGCAGAGUAUGAGUUCUAGUUGCUCUUUACCUUUGCCAUAACUUGGCAUUUUAAUUUUGGUGUUAAUUUGGCCACAGAAGCUGAGUAUAGCCAUAGCUCACUGUGGUUUUAAUCUGCAUUUCCCAGAUGACUAAUAAUGUUCAGCAUCUUUUCAUGUGCUUCUCUGUCAUCAACAUAACUUCUUGUGUGAGGUUCUGUUCUUACAUCCUGUCCAUUUUUAAGGAACUUGGAUAGGGUUUAAGAAUUCUUUAUAUAUCCUGCAUAUAAGUUCCUUUUCACAUACAUGGAAUAUGGAUAUUUCUUCCCUGUCUGGGGUUUGCCUUUUCAUUGUCUUAAGGGUGUCUUCAAAGAACAGAACUUCAUGAAGUUCAACUUAUCAAUUUUCCUUUUAUGUUUGGUGCUUGUUGCUUGGGUUCGUGUCCUAAGAAAAUCUGCCCACCCCAAAGGUCAUGAAGGUUUUCUCCCACAAGUGUUUUUAACCAGUAUUUCUGGACAAAGUAUAAGCGGUGGAAAGCUCACUAGAGACCAGGCACAGAAUGGGGAAGAGGAGGGAAAAUGAAGAAGGAAACGGCUGAGAAAAUUGAAGAUAACAGAGCUGGCCCUCUUGAUAAGUGUACAUAUUAAUGGGAUCAGGAAAAUAAGCCCAGUGCUAUAAACCCCAAGACCUCACAGAAUCAGAUGUAUCCUAAAGGAGAGGCAGACAAUAGGCACUUAUCACUUUCUGAUUUGUCAUCCUUUUUAUUUUUAUUUAUUUAUUUAUUUAUUUUGUCUUUUUGCCAUUUCUUGGGCUGCUCCCACAGCAUAUGGAGGUUCCCAGGCUAGGGGUUUAAUCCGAGCUGUAGCCACCGGUCUAUGCCAGAGCCACAGCAAUGUGGGAUCCGAGCCAUGUCUGCAACCUACACCACAGCUCACGGCAGCGUUGGAUCCUUAACCCACUGAGCAAGGCCAGGGAUCGAACCUGCAACCUCAUGGUUCCUAGUCAGAUUCGUUAAGCACUGAGCCAUGACAGGAACUCCAGAUUUUUCAUCCUUUUUAAAAAAGAGCAAUUGGAUUCAUUCCCAGGGAGGCUGGAAGAACUCAGGCUGCAGACUAAUGCUUGGGGCUCAUAACACUCACCACACACACACAAAUAUACAUGCAUGAAAUCUAUCAUUUCUACUUCAAAACCGUACUUGCUGGGCCUUAUUUAGUUUAUGGCAGCUCUUAAAAUAAUCCAAAUGGAAUAAAAUGCAAAAGCACAAACAAGUAUCCUUCAGAGAGUGGUAGAGGUCAGGCCCAGGGGCAGGGUUUAAAAGAGUAAAAUAUGCAGAGUUGGGCCAAGAGGUGACUAAGAGGGAAGGAGAUAAGAUCUGUCUACAAAUACCUGCAGGCUGUAAACAACAGGAGAGUGACAAACCAAACUAGCCCACAACAAAGGCUGACCAGGAAUUUGCUGCAUUCAGGAAAGGAAGUGGACAGGCAAGGAAGCCUUCCCACUGGCCUGCUGGCUGUGCUGGGCUUCCCUCCUCCUGCUCUGCCGGGUGCCCUGCCCGGCCCUGCAGGCUGCCUUGCCUCCCUGGGCUGGCCACUGUCUGGAUCAGGGUUUUCGGACAAGACACGACACAGGGCUGGCAGGCCACCUCUGGUGGGGGCUCUAGAUCUCACUUCAUCUGCCUUUACAUCACUGCUCAGAAAUCCUCACAAAACUGGGAAACCAUGCCCCUCUCUGGCCCCAAAUGCUGCAGAUAAAAGCAUGACCUUGGUUUGGUUUUAAGGCCUCUACCAUGUGGUCCCGUCCAUUCUUCCCAGCAAGCACCUCUCCUGCAUCUUUGUUCUCAAGGAAACUGGCCUCCCAGACCUUGACCUGUCUGGCACCUACUGCCUUGCCAUCUCCUUCCAAUUAGAUUUAGUUCUAAUCCAGAUAUUAGGUGUUAGCAGUGUCUUCAGUAGAUGAUGCAGGGAUUAAAAAAAAAAAAAAAAAAAAAAAGGAAAAGGAAAGGAGACUUUGCCUUCAAGAAGCUUAUAAUCUAGCGGAAGAGACAUAUAGAAACAAUUACUUUUUUUUUUAAUUUUUAAUUUUUUGGCCGAAUCUGCAGCAUGUGGAAGUUCCCAGCCAGGGACUGAACCUGAGCUGCAGCUUUGACCUAUGUCAUGGCAAUGCUGGAUCCUUAACCCACUGUGCCACAGUGGGAACUCCCAUAAACAAUGAAUUAAACUAAGUUAUAUGAAUUAUCUUUUUACACUAUAGUAUUUAUACAGGUGAUAUGAAAACAAUAUUGUAGAACCAUAACAGAGGAUAAAACUUAAUUUUUCCUGGAAGGUCUGGGGAGUGCUUUCCAGAAAAGCUUGUGCCCAGGAUGAUUAGGAAAAAGAUGUGUGUGUGUGUGUGCGCGCCUGUGUACACGCUGGGUAAUGGGGAGGUAGGGUGAAUUGGGGAUCACAAUGAUGAGGCCUGUCAGAGGAGACACUGACAUGACAGCUUGGGGCAGGCUCGGUACGUAGUCCCGUGUAAACAGCUGGCAUUAGGGGCAGGAAGGCAACGGAGCUGGUAGGCAGGUAGGUUGACAAAAAGUUGGGGGGAAGGUCUUGAAUGCCUUGUUACAGGCUCUGAACUUGAUCUUGCAAGCAAAAGGAAGUCACCAGAAAUUUAACAGCAGAUUGCAACAUGAUGAGAUCUGUGUUUUCCAAAGACACACUUAUAAGGAGAAUUGAAAACAGUGACAGGGGAAGUGGAGAGAAGAAACAUCUGGAAAACACAGCUGAUGCGCACUACGGAUGACAGUGGUGAGGGCUAAAAUGAUUUAGGGAUUGCACUGCCUGCGGCUGCAAGGCUGGCGAAGCUUCUAGGAGCCUACGUCAGAAGUUCAGAUGAAGCUCUACUCCCUCCUUCCUAGGGGCCUCAAACCCACAUUUCCUCCUUCUUACUUCUCAACGGCCAUUUUACCUGUGUCUGCAUGGGCGUGCUCAGCAUUUAUCAACUGAACUCCCUGCUUUUUUCUCAUGUUAAGAUUUGCUCACCAAACUGUGUUACCAGGCAUCAUGUUACACUUUUUCCAGGAGAUGUUUUGAUUCAGCCAAGGUGGAGAUGAAGUCUUAUCAACCCCACCACCUCUAAUUGGGGUUAUCUGUAGCUGUAAAAGCCAUCAUAGGGUGGGGGCGGGGGCUUCCAGUCCUUCCUGCACUGCCUCAUAGCAUUUCUUGAACCAUCUUGUGUAUCUCUUACAUUGUUUAUCAAUCCAAACAAUGUUAAAAAAAAUUCUGUAUUUAUACAAACUCACAGAAGUUCAUUUCUUUCAUUUCACAGUAAUAUUGUUUCAUUCAGUGUUAUUUAGUCAAUGAAAAAAAAACACUAAAUAAAAUCUUUCAACAAAGA
rnacentral:lncRNA from 1 species